rnacentral:misc_RNA from 1 species
GCCAAAAUUUGAAAGCAAGAUUCAUUUGGCAAAGUAAUAAAGCACCAGUACAUACAGUCUAGCUUCAACCAAGCUUUCUCUUAUCCAUGGGAAAACAAGGCAACACAAGUUUCAAAACAGCACUUUUAUUGAAAAUCAACAAGAAAAUUAGCGAGUGAUGCGCUACAAUUUCAAUGGAAAAGAAAGCAACUGGUAGACGGAAUACGAUGCUGCAAAGUUAUAUCCCAACGGGUUCAGACCACCUCGGAUCAGUAUUCACAGCUAAUCCGCUUCCU